GGAAAAGCUGUCAGCCAAUGCAAAAACCUCAUCCGGUUGGAGCUGUGCAGCCUCCUUGGAUAUUUUGCAUAGGGGAAGUGGCAGAAAGGGAAACGUUUCAUCCAACAUGCAGCCUUCUGGACUCCCCUCAUCUGGACAACGUAGGAAUUGCAUGGUUUUAUCAGCACAGGCUUACUUCUUUGACAUGAGCACUAUUUUCGGGAUCAGACUCGAGUUUACUCAUCUGAUCGACACCUGACGCCCGCGAGGAGCGACGACCCCCGACUGUCAAUAUUGAGGUUGGUUUUAAGUGUCAUCAAAGGAUUCACUUCCUCAAGUGGGCUUUGUCUUUAACGUUUUAAGGAGAAUUUCAAGUUGUAUUAGUCACUGAGUCUGAAAGGUGGCCGAUUGUGUGUGUGUGUGUGUGUGUGUGUGUGUGUGUGUGUGUGUGUGUGUGUGUGUGUGUGGAUGAAUCUGGAGGUGUGUGUGCUGGAAUUGAGUUUUAUUUUUCAGGGGCAAUUACACUGAUUUUACUUUAUAAACUGCUUUUUUUAAAUGAUAAAAGAGCUGAAAUCAAUAGAAGUGUGCGUGUGUGUCUCUGUAUGUGUGUGUGUGUGUGUGUGUGUGUGUGUGUGUGUUCUUGGCAUGAGAAAAAAAAAUGCAAAAUAUAGUAGCUGUGAUUCAACAAGUUUCAAUUAUUACUAACAGUCUGUAGCAUUUUGGACAUUAGCUGCUCAUCUCUCAUCAGGUAAACAUCAUAACCAUCUCCAGAAUGACAAAUGCAUUUCAACAAAAGCAGACUCUGUAUUAGUCAUGGUUUCAAUUUGUCUUUCCACAACUGGAUGAGCCAUGGUGUUUUUAAUGAAGAGCUUUUUUUUGUGCCUACGUUUUUGAUUUGCAGAGUUUAGUGAUCUCAGUGCUCCUCAGCAUGGGAAUUAUUAAACAGGGUCCAGAUUGUGUGCAUUUAUAGCACACCAGGACCAACGUGAGGCUAUGAGUUUGAAAAUAAAGUGUGUCACAGAAAAACCUGCUGCUCCUUAUAUUCCCAUUUGGAUCCAAAACAGUGCAGGUAAAAGCAAACAAUAUACAUUUGCUCCCGAGGCUGCUUUGUGGAGACAUUUGCACCAGCUAUUCUGGCCCUCAUUUGUAAUCUUUUUGUAAUGUUAAAACCAAUACAUUAAACCUAAAGUUUCACAUUUAGUCUAAAGGUAAUAAUCCCUUAUUGCUCAUUAUUAGGAAGGAGGGGGAAUAAAUGUUUAUCCUGUUGAAAGCUAACCAAGCCCAACCUGUAAAGAAACACAUAGAUUCCUCGGUCAAGUAGCUCCCCCUCCUCUACAAAAAAAAAAAGGUUUGUCCACUCCUAUCUGAUCCAGAGGUGGUGAUGUGUAGUUUCUUUGUGCUCCUGCUGGUGAGGUUCUGCUAAAAGGAGGCUUGGAAGGCAGCGAGCUCAGUUCUUUUAUAGCCACAAGACCCACUCUGAGCUGCAGAACACGCCUAAUGAGGGCGUGCAGCGGUGCCAUGUGCGACAUGCCAGCUUUUACCAGGCUGGGUAAUUGCUUGUGACCUUCACUAAACACGUCUCAUGUGUCUUCAUGUUCUGAGCGUGCUUCUAAUUGUUACAUUGAGGGAGAUGCCUGAGGAUCAUGCAUGUACUUUGACUGUUUUGUGGGGAGAAGCAGACAUAUCCCAUACUAAAUCUGUGGGGAGGCGGGGUGUUUGUGAAGAAAAUAGAGUUGUGGACCCCUUUCUUUAUCUUUACCUCCACUUGCAGUUACCAUAUUUCAAAGAUAGUAUAAUAUUAAGGCAAAAUGUCUCAAUUAAUACUUAAUUAACCAGCCAGAUUUUCUGUUAUUUACUCAUUACAACACCUAACAAAAUGUGCUCGGUCAGAAAUGUGUGGUUUCAGAUUGUUUUAGUUUUAUACCGCUGGCUGUCCUUGGGAGUCCAUGACAACUUUGUUGUGUGCUGGGGAACAAAUCUGGUUUUCAUUUAAAGUGGAAACAUAUUAGGAAAACACUUUUUUUUUCUCUCGGUUUCUGUGAUUUCAAAAAAACUGUCAUCACAAAAUAUGAACAGACAUUUGCAAACUGAUCUCGGAUCUGGAAACUAUGAAGUCUGGUAGUAUUCACACAUACUUUGUAUUUUUUUGCCUUUAGUUGGAAUACAAUUACAUCAAAAUCUCACUUUGCAUCAUCUAAGAGUUUAAUCUGACGCCUCAUUCAAAAUGAAAGACACGGAUGAAACACAAUAAAUUAGUUUUAAAAUGUGUUAAGAUGACAUUUCAGAUGGUAAGAAGCAGUGAUUAUCAUCAUGCCACCUCUUCUUUCAGUGCAAUGAGUUUGGCAAUGAGCUCGUCAAAGACACUUUGACUGGAAAUUGUAUUCAUACUCUUUCAUUAUUUGUGCCGAACUAAAUUUUAGCAUUCAUACCAAGUACAAAGUGCAUAUUGGUGUGAAGUGAGGUCAUAAUAUAAGCCUUCCACUCCUGCAAUACAGCAGCUGUUUCUUCUGGAACAUUGUAGUUUAAUGCACAGUAGCAAGAGGCUGCACUUAUCAUGAUGCACUUCAUUAAGAUAUUAAGAUUCAAGUGUGACUUCUAAAAAGAAUCAGUAACCAUAACGUCAGGGAGAUGAUGAUCUGUUCUGGAAAUGGGAAAAGAUAACUCACUCAUAAGUAUUAGUGAUAAGUACACACACAUGUUAAGCAUCUGCUGCUAUCAGACUGGAGCUAGCAUAAUGAAGACUUGAGGUGUGACCUCUUUAUCAGACAUGGCUUUAAUUCAUCAUCACAAUCUGGAUGAAGAUCAAGUGAUGAUCAAAUGAUGGUAUAUUACUUCCGAUAGAUAAAGGAAAAUUGUAUUAUUAAAUGUGGCUGUUUAUUCUGGCAGAUUUUUUUAGAUUCCAGUCUGAAUUGUUUAAAUUUACUUGUAAAGAAUAAUAACUUUACCCUGUGUCAUACUUGGGGGCUUAAGUUUUUCUGUACUUUCUUUUACACAAAUUUUAUUCAAGAUAAACAGAUCUUUUUAUGCUGAACUUAUUGCCAUGUUUUAAACCAGUGCCCAUACACUUGCAUGACCAAGACCAUGGUUUUCCUCAGUACUGCAUGAUAAUCAAACAGUGUAAAAUGAUGAUGAAGAGCUCCCUCUAUGGCCAUGAGCAGAAUAGUCCUGCAUGAUGAAAAAGUGAAACUCUGACCUGUAGCCAGAGAGCAAGUAAAUAUUUUUCUGCAACACAUUCUCACUCCCAACUCUUGGGUAAAAGAUAAACUGUUGCAGACUGAUCUAAAUAAUUUGAAGGCAAACCAAAGGAGCACUCAGCUGUGUCCCAAAGGUCAAGAAGGUUGUUGUUCUUGUCUGGGGAUGGGGUUGGUUAAAGCAUUUUAGAGGGAUGAAAACAGACAACACCUGCAGUAGGGAGUGAAUCACAUAAACUUCAUAAAAUACUGGGGAAAAAAAAUGUCUUUUUAAUGGGGUUUACUCUCUGACCGAGCUGCAUAACUGCUCAUUUGUUUUGUUACUACAUCAUUAACACUCAGGCUCAUAGUCUAUGCAGUCUGUUCAGUCAGAAAGCUGGGCAUUAUUACUUGCACCUUUUUAUGCUCACAUGCUUGGUUGUUGUUUGGAACUUCGCUGGGCUGGAUCUGUUGUCGAUUAAGACGAGGAACCUUAAUUACUUUUGGAGCACUUCAGACUCCAUCCACUCCACGGCUGCUGCUGAUUCAUGCUUACUUGGAAAUCAGCCCAGGGAGUCAAAAAAAAAAAUAAACACCGGGUCACAUGUGGAAAUUGACAUCAACCUUUUUAUUUUCAGUUCACAAUUCUGCUGUAAUGUUUAUGAUUAGCUUUUGACUUUUAGCUUUCCUCGUUGUGUCGUCUCUCUGUUACUUAGCCUUAAAUUAGUUUUUGUACUUAGACAAAGCUCCGAGACACCUGUAAUAACAAUAAGUAGGGAUUCCUCAAAUGACCCUCCUUGAGCCUGUAAAUCCAGUCGUGUGUCAUGUAUUUGCAGUUGCGGUGUAUAUCUCUGCUUCUAAGCUUCAGGAUGCCAGAUCCAUAAUGGAAAAGUCUGCAAAAAGGACAUUCAAGGCCUUCUAUCGGAGGCGGUGUGAUAUCGUUUUCCGCCAAACCAGAAAUCAAGGCCUUGGACGGGCCUUUUUUAUGUCAGGGAUAGGGGUACUGUAUGUUUUCUGACAGUCGCUCCUUUUAAGAUUAAUGGGCUUAUGAGAACCGUGUGUCUUCUUCCAAAAGCCAAGCUCGAUAUCAGUCAAUGUUACCAGCAUAAUCGUGCCGUCCUGACAAAGAAAUCCCAAAGACAGAUUGAAUAUUGAUGUCACAACACUGGGGAAUCUGUGUUGUGUGUGUGUGUGUGUGUAUGUGCAGGGUGAGGGGGCUCCAUACUGGAUUUGAUUUCUUACUUCUGGCUCGAAAACACGUGCCAACUAGCUAACGCAGUGCUGCUUUUACACAAAGACUUUUAUAUUUACGAUGCAACAACUUCUACUGCGUUUAACAAAGCUGAAAUCUAAGUUUGUGGAUUUGCUAAUAAGGCAGAAAACCACACAAUCUACAAGCCACGUUAGCUCUUCUGCUGGAAUAUGCAGAGGAGCGGGGAUCUAUCCUCGUGCUCUAUCAGUGCACUGACCUCACUGAACCACAGCCAGAUGCUCAUAAAUACAUUCCCUUAUUUCUACCCUUGUGUGGAUGCCAGUUGAGCCGGGGAAGUGGGUUUGUUUUGGGUGUUCUCAGUAUAUUCCAGCCAGAGCCGCGCUUUCACUUUUCUCACAAGAGAGCUGUGCUGACUUCCUGAAAUGCAUAUGUAUUCCUGCUUGUGGUCGUCUGUCAUGGCGGUGAUCUGUUGAAAGCUGCACAACUCGAGUCCAGUGUCUGUAUAAUGGAGACUUGUUUGUCCCGACACCCGUGGAUUAAUCAACUGGACGUCUCUACUCCGUGAAUUGUAGUGCGGCACUGUGCGAGUCCAGAAUCGAGAGGGUAAACGUGAAAACUGACUCCAGGCUCUGGUUAAGUGAGCAGUUGAUCCUGCGUCGACCAAUGUCAGAAACUUAACCCACAUGAUUACUUUUUGGUCACAUCUGGACACAUUUGCCUUUCAGCUUUCAGAAUAUACAUGUGUGUUUUACAGUUGGCAAAUAUUUCAGGAAUCCUCAUGUCCCUCAUCGGCUUUCCAUAUUUAGAAAGAAUAAGCAUAAAAAGCUAAUUAUGUAGGAUUAACAAAUUAACCCUGUUCAUGCUUACAGUGUGAGCUGGAGAUCUCUUCAACCUGCAGCAAAGGAAUGGGGGACCUUAGCUCUCUCAUACCGGUGGUGAAAUGUCUGACAUGUUUGCGUUGAGUAGGGACAGACAGGCCUGCAACCAAGCCUGGACUUGCUGGCCAAGAAAAAGCCCCUCAUAGCUCCCCCAUUUUCCUUAGCAUGCCCCUUCCUGAAUGAAUGCACUGCCUAACCUUGCAGUCGCCGGGUUUGAAAUAAUGAGCAAGUGUGUGAAAAUAUCUAGGCUAACUACUGUGUGUAAGUCAACUUUUACUGUUUGUUGUUUGUUGCUGUCUUCAGCAUAAUGACUGUAAAUAUAGAAGGAAGCUGGUAUGUCUGAACAGAAUAGAAACCAGCUGGCACAAAAUGCAUUGUGUGUACAACUGAGACAUGAAAGCAGUGGGAGUGAAAGAGCAGGCAAGGUAAACUGAGGUCAAAUUAAAAGCACAUGACAAUACAGUACCUACUUUAUGUGUGAUAAUACUGAGAGACUGGACUUGAAAUAAAAUGAAAUAAAAUAAAAAAUAUGAACUAUUUCAAUAUAUGAUGUUUUGUCUAUUUUUGUUGUGUAUCUGGUUUUCUUGAAUGAAGCCCAAAAAAUGUUUGCUAUUUACAGUAGUGGAAGAAGUAUUCAGAGUGUAUGAAAAUAUAUCCUACUUAAAGGAACAGUGUGUAUUAUUUAGGGGGAUCUAUUGGCAGGAAUGGAAUAUAAUAUUAAUAAGUAUAUUUUCUUCGGAGUAUAAUUACCUGAAAAUAGGAUUUGCUGAGUUUUUUUUAGAAUGAGUCGUUUGUAUCUACAGCGGAGCGGGUCCUCCUCACGGAGCCGGCCGCCAUUUUUCUACAGUAGCCCAGAACGGACAAACCAAACACUGGCUCUAGAGAGGGCCAUUCGUGUUUUUGCUUUUUUUAGUUGGCCACUGCAG